rnacentral:lncRNA from 1 species
GUCCGGGGACAGCUUGAAUGGUGGCUCUAUGGUCGGUCCGGCGGCGUGGGGCCGCGGGGGGGGGGGGGGGCGCCGAGCCCGGCAGAUUUUUCUUUCGCCUCCCAAGCUCAGUCGCUCCACCGCCGCCGCAAACUUUUAGUUCCGCGCGCUCCCGACUUUGGUUCCGAAACCGAGCUUUACCGUUGCCCCCCGCCUUCCUUCCACCCCCGCGCCCGGCGUUCGUCACCGCGAGUUUUCGGCUUCCACUGAUUUCCGCCCCGGGUUUUUUUUUCGCCGGUCGGAUUUCCCGCGUUUCGGUUUUCGACAGUGAUAGUGAUAGCUCCGGUUGGCUCUGUGUUUGGCGGGUUGCGUUUCGCUUGGAUUAUUCAGUGAUAACGAAUUAGUGCUCUGGGAACCUUUUUGGAUGAUACGAACGAACCACGCCGAUACUCUGAUUCAACGUUUCAAGAAAAAGAUGCUGAGAGGGUAGGGGGAUGCCCGAGAUUAGUCGCUCGGACUCACAAAGAUCGGACUCCUCCAUUAAACCUCGAGUAUCUUUCAACAGAGAUGUCCACAUAAAGAAAAUAGGUCACCCGGAUGCUCCUAGCGUUGUAGGGGCUCGCGGGCGAUGGAGAGGGCACCUGGUGCCGACGGCGGUGCGGCGGGAGGGCCCCAGCCGGCUGUCCAGGCGGGAGCUGGCCAAGGAGGCCGAGAAGGUCCUCAAACAGGCCGAAAGCGUCGUCUGCGUCCCCAUCUCCGAGUCGGGGGCCAUCAUCGAAGAGAAGCCCAGCAGACCCACUAGAAAUCAUAUCCCACAUAGGUCCAACUUGACGCGGAGGUCCAGUUUUGGAGGCUCCGACAACAAGCAUGAGCUUUCCAGCAAAAAGCAAGGAAAACCGAACCUGAUUUCGUCGGUCUUCAACUCGCUGGACCGAUCGAAAAGUAAGAAGAAGACCGAGGCACGUGAGAAUGAAGACUACCGGUACAAUCUGCGACGGAGCAGCCUCCACGACGACACGGGGACCAACAGCCUCCCGCGGAGCACUCAAAACCGCUCAAGAACCCGAAUCGGGCGCAGCGUGAGCGACGCCGGAAGCCGUAAGCCCCUCGACCGGAAACCGGAAGAGAAGAAAACCAUCUCGAUAUUCGCCACCCUGGACCGCCUACGCAACCCAAACAGAAAAGCGAAACCACAUUACGCGGGCUCCAAAUCUGACGUCGAGGUCAGGAACGUGGCCAAUCGAAACGGUGACGUCAUGGACUACUCGCGCACGAACCACGUGCAGAGGAACCCCUCGCCGGUGGUGGCGCCGCGGCGGAAGAAGAAGCAACUAUCGCCCAUCAUAGAGAUAACCCCCCGGGAGGACUACUUCGAGUCGUCGUCGGAGAAGCACCAGCCGUACAGUCUGGGGGGUGGAGAGUACGAGAGCUUGAGCCGAAGGCCGCGGGACGAGGUGGACCCGCCGGUGAGGAAGCAGCACUACAGCCUCGGCGGAGGAGACUACGAGAGCACCGAGCGGAAGCCGAAAGCGGGGGACCGCGCUACGCGGAAUUGACAGACGACGAUAGUGACAUUGGCGGAAAAAUUUUAGCGACGCCUUCGCCGACCCGAGCGCCGACGAUCGACAAAUUGAUUCAGAAGUUGAGCGAGGAGCGACGCAAUAGAGCGGCGAGCAAAGUGGCUGCGAGCUCGAGCCCACUUGUGGAGCCGGACGAGGGCCGCCAACAUAACGACAACAAACCGUUCUCGUACACGGAGCCGCCCACCAAGGCUGACGCGGACGGAGGACAUGUAAUCUACGCCCAAGUCGUCGCGAGCGGAGCGUCAACGGCAAACCCGCGGCAAAACAAACCGUGCACGCGACAGUCAGUCCGAAUCGACUGCUCG